rnacentral:rRNA from 1 species
AGGAUAAACCCCGAUAGAUCAUAAUGCCUGGAACGGUUUAUGGUCCAAAUGAUUCGUCGCCGUAGGAUGGGACUGCGGCCUAUCAGCUUGUUGGUGAGGUAAUGGCCCACCAAGGCUAUUACAGGUACGGGCUCUGAGAGGAGAAGCCCGGAGAUGGGUACUGAGACACGGACCCAGGCCCUAUGGGGCGCAGCAGGCGAGAAACCUUUGCAAUGUGCGCAAGCACGACAAGGUUAAUCCGAGUGUUUCCUGCUAAAGGAAUCUUUUGUUAGUCCUAAAAACACUAGCGAAUAAGGGGUGGGCAAGUUCUGGUGUCAGCCGCCGCGGUAAAACCAGCACCUCAAGUGGUCAGGAGGAUUAUUGGGCCUAAAGCAUCCGUAGCCUGCUCUGUAAGUUUCCGGUUAAAUCCAUUAGCUCAACUGAUGGGCCGCCGGAAAAACUGCAGAGCUAGGGAGUGGGAGAGGUAGACGGUACUCGGUAGGAAGGGGUAAAAUCCUUUGAUCUAUUGAUGACCACCUGUGGCGAAGGCGGUCUACCAGAACACGUUCGACGGUGAGGGAUGAAAGCUGGGGGAGCAAACCGGAUUAGAUACCCGGGUAGUCCCAGCUGUAAACGAUGCAGACUCGGUGAUGCCCUGGCUUGCGGCCAGUGCAGUGCCGCAGGGAAGCCGUUAAGUUUGCCGCCUGGGAAGUACGUACGCAAGUAUGAAACUUAAAGGAAUUGGCGGGGGAGCACCACAAGGGGUGAAGCCUGCGGUUCAAUUGGAGUCAACGCCGGG